UAUAGAAAUUUAGCAGGGUAAGGAUUAAUCCGUAUGAAUAAUAAACGUGUUUAUAUCUGUUUGUUAAACUGCAAUUUUUCCUAAUUCAUCAGUAAUUAAGUUGAAAUAAUGAGUGUUUUGAUACUUUUGUAACGCACAUUAAAAAAUUCAUUACCGAAUCAUUACCUAUAUGAAAUGAAACAGAUUGAAAGAAAUAUUCCGGAGGGGCAACAUUUGAUGGCGAUACCUUAAAGAAAUUUCCUGAAUGGGCUACAGGGGAGGACGAUUACAGCAAAGAAAUUUCCAGAAGGGGCAGCUGGGGUUGUGAUUUUAAACUAAACAGAACAAACAUGCUAGUAUGAAUGUUCAAGGAGAACUGUAUGAAGUUGAUGAUGCUCAGUUAGAACUACUUGACAAAUUCAGAGUCUCAUCCAAAAUUGUACAUCCGAAAAGAUGUUGCCUUAACCAGAAACAGAGAUGACCCAAGUUCACGGGAGGACUUUACGGCACAGGCUUACUUUCUUGUGAACUUCAGGCCCCAUUUACUUGAUCUUCCAAUGCUGGAGAGUUAUAAAGGCAUGAUUGAUGGGAAAAAGUAUAGCAAACACAAGGAUCGUGAUGUUCAAGCUCCCCUGUGGUGGUACGAAAUACAUACUGAAUAUGAACAAGAAAUAUAAGUAUUUAGUAACAAUUACCUUUAGGCAAUGUUUCUACAUUUUUCUUGUACCAAUGUAAGGCUGUUUUUCUUUUAAAUAUUUCAUACUGCUAUACUGGUAAUAUUACAUCGAGUUAAAAUACUGAUA
rnacentral:lncRNA from 1 species